GUCGAACGGAAGUUAGAGCUUCGGUUUUAACUUUAGUGGCGAACGGGUGAGCCACUCGUGAGGAACCUGCCUUUCAGUGGGGGACAACAGUUGGAAACGACUGCUAAUACCGCAUGACACUUUUGGGAGACAUCUCCUAAAAGUCAAAGCUUUAUGUGCUGAAAGAUGGCCUCGCGUCUGAUUAGCUAGUUGGUGAGGUAACGGCUCACCAAGGCGACGAUCAGUAGCCGGUCUGAGAGGAUGAACGGCCACAUUGGGACUGAGAUACGGCCCAGACUCCUACGGGAGGCAGCAGUGGGGAAUAUUGGGCAAUGGGGGAAACCCUGACCCAGCAACGCCGCGUGAAGGAAGAAGGCCUUCGGGUUGUAAACUUCUUUUACCAGGGACGAAGGACGUGACGGUACCUGGAGAAAAAGCAACGGCUAACUACGUGCCAGCAGCCGCGGUAAUACGUAGGUUGCAAGCGUUGUCCGGAUUUACUGGGUGUAAAGGGCGUGUAGGCGGAGAUGCAAGUUGGGAGUGAAAUCCAUGGGCUCAACCCAUGAACUGCUCUCAAAACUGUAUCCCUUGAGUAUCGGAGAGGCAAGCGGAAUUCCUAGUGUAGCGGUGAAAUGCGUAGAUAUUAGGAGGAACACCAGUGGCGAAGGCGGCUUGCUGGACGACAACUGACGCUGAGGCGCGAAAGCGUGAGGAGCAAACAGGAUUAGAUACCCUGGUAGUCCACGCUGUAAACGAUGAAUACUAG
rnacentral:rRNA from 1 species